rnacentral:lncRNA from 1 species
UUUGCCUCCACGGGUAACCACUGUAGCUGCAAGUUCCCUGCAGGUGUUAAGGGAUUCUGCUCAUGUCCUCUCUGUAAUGCUUAUGACACAAAACGUUGGGAAAAGUUGGAGACAUUGCUCUAUCUGUACUUCUCUGCAUCGUGCACUGUCGUGACCCAGGGAGGAAAACCAAAAGCCUUCAGCCAUCCUCCACACAGGCAAAUUCUCACUGGCUGUUUUCUUCUAAGACUGCAACUUGAAUUUACUGGGGCUUCUCCAUCUGGAUCUACGCUGUCCAGUAGGAUUGUCACUAGUCACAUGUGUGACUAUUUAAACUUAAAUGAAUUAAAAUUAAAUCAAAUUAAAAGUGGUCAAGAGCCACUGAUGGUUAGUGGCCACAGAACUGAAAAGCAGAGAAAUGAAGCAGUUCCAUCCUUACAGAAAGUUCUGAUCUAUACCUGACUCUGAGCUCCCGACUCCCUUUUCCUCAUAUUUCCAUUCCUUUGUAAUAUACACAAGAAAACACUUUUUUUUUUUGUCUAAACCUCUUCCUACUCAAGGCUCCACUCAUCUCUGUGUAAGGAAAGUUUGUUCAAAGAUUUUCCCUACGACAAAGGCCCACCAUUCCACCUCUGAUAAGAAUUGCACCUCUCUGCUGGAAUGCUGAAACACUGGACUGAGUUCUCUUCUGCUUUCGGGACAGGGAUGGGAUGCAAGCCAGCCCCCAGGGGGCCCAUCAGGCCAAGGCCAAGGAGGAACCUGAGUGCUGGACUUAGAUGGGCAGUCUGGAAGACUCUGUACAGACACUGAUGAUCAGAGCUGAGCAAAUCGGAAUCAGGCACUUGGGCAAAGCGUGAAAGACCAUAUCUAAAGAUUAGCAGACCGAGAGAAAUAGAAGCGAACAGUGAGGUCAGUGAAUUCAAUUCUCUUAUCUGAAGAGGAGAACCCUGAACUGGUUAAACAACCGGCACAGCUGACGAUGAAAGGCCUCAAAAUCUGUGUCAUGCCGGAAUGUAGCAAACAGAUCGACUCACAAUGAAGUGCAAGCACAUUAAAGAAAGUGCGUGGUGCUGCGGGGAGACCUCACCAAUGAAAUAAGCACGCUUCAGAAAAAGUUUACUCUAGAAUGGAAUGGUUUUAAAUAACUCCCACUUUUCUUUUGACUUUUGGCAUAAAAUGGGAAAGUUACCCUUCACAACACAGCAAGAGUUGAAACUCACGACUCCACGUGAGUGCGUGCGUGUGUUUGUGUGUGUAUGUUAACUGGGAAAAAAAAUCAAGAACUUUUGUUGCUGUUGUUAAAUACCAACAUACUCAUGUUGAAAACAAUGCAUUGGUCUACCCAGAAUGAAAGCAGUGAGGGGCACGUAGUAAGCAAUCAAUGAGUACUUGUUGAUUGAUUGAAAAUAAAUCACAAAAUAAAAAUAUAAAUUAGGAGUCU